rnacentral:rRNA from 1 species
CAUUAAUGGAUGUUGAAUUGGGUUGUUGCUGGCCCUCAGGGGCAUGUGCACAUCCAUCACUUUCAUUCAUCCCUGUGCACUCACUGUAGACAUCGUUGUGUGAUGUCUAUGCCUUUUUUUCACACACACUACAUAGACUGUGAAUGUGGAUCAGAUCCUCAGGAUCUAUAUCUAUACAACUUUUAGCAAUGGAUCUCUUGGCUCUCGCAUCGAUGAAGAACGCAGCGAAUUGCGAUAUGUAAUGUGAAUUGCAGAAUUCAGUGAAUCAUCGAAUCUUUGAACGCACCUUGCGCCCUUUGGUAUUCCGAAGGGCAUGCCUGUUUGAGCAUCAUUGAACAAAUCAACCUUUACAAGUUUUGUAAAGGUUGGACUGUGAGGGCCUGCAGGUGUCUUGAUACCGGCUCCCUUUAAAUUGAUCAGCGAGUGCUUUUCCACUGGCUCUGGAUUGAUAAGUCUGUCCAUCUGUUGUCACUGGAAUGGCCUGCUUCAAAUUGUCCCCUGCGGACUGUCCUUGUGGGCAUAUCUUUGAUCUUGAUCUCAAAUCAGGUAGGACUACCCGCUGAACUUAAGCAUAUCAAUAAGCGGAGGAAAAGAAACUAACAAGGAUUCCCCUAGUAACUGCGAGUGAAGCGGGAAGAGCUCAAAUUUAAAAUCUGACAGUCUCACUGU